CUCCAGCUGAUGAGUCCCAGAUAGGACGAAAUGCGCACCAAACUGGAU
rnacentral:hammerhead_ribozyme from 1 species